UUGAUUUUACCAAAAAUAAAAUCUUAGGUCAUUAAUUUUAAAAUGCAAGUUCAAGCUUUGAUUACCAUCUUUAUGCCUCACAAAUUUCAAUCUUAGAUCUCGCUAGUUCUCCAAAUACCUUUAAUUUCCGGCUUUUUCUUCGCAUCUACAACUGCGGCCUCAUGAUUUCUUUGAAAUUUUGUUCCGCGUCGUUGCACUGCGAUGAUUCACUGAUCUUCUCAUCAAGCCUUACUAUAAAUUUUAUUAUAUUUCCAUGUUAUCUUCCGAUUGUUAGUUUUGAGUUAAUGUCGGUCUUCCUGCAGAGCGAAGAUUUGGAGUUCAACUUGUAAGUAGCAUUGCAGGUUUUUUCCAUCUAUACCUCACUGUGGAGUUAAGUCGAUUUUGCUCGAAGAGAAGAAAUUGAGUAUAAAGGAUUUCUCCGGCUCGAUCAAUCAAUUGAGCGGAAGACGCCAUGAAUCAGGUAAUUACCAACCAGCAUCAUUGUAUGUGGAAUACAACUUGAUUUUCUUGGCUUCCUGGGCGUUUACUGUCUUUACUUUUGUUUCUGAAGUAUAUAUCAUGAGACACUGGUAGAAUUCUGGCUUAUGAAAUAUUGAGCAUCCUAUUAUAAAUUAUAUGUAAAUUAACCCAUGUCUAUGAUCACAUAAAGAUCAAAUAUUUUACUAAGUUUUCGAAGAA